GACUCGGUGGUCUAAUGGUUAAGCGUACGACGCGGGUUCAUAGGGUCCUAGGUUCAAUCCCUGAUGGGGUCG
rnacentral:tRNA from 1 species